rnacentral:lncRNA from 1 species
CGCUAGCGUAACCUGUCCUCCCAGUUUCUCUGGUAAGCUCCCAGUAAAGCAGCAAUGCCUAAAUGUGCUGAGUAGGGUCGGACAGGGCCCUGACUCACGCAGGGGCGGUUUGCUGCACGGGCUGGGCUCAGCGCUUCAUGCUUUUAAAAUUAAUGAGAAUUUGUGCGUGGGCUCUCGUUACAGAAGUGCUGAACCGGCAGUGACCUGGCCUCACCUUCUGCCAUGGCAGGGACGGGGGACUGGAGGCCUGAUGGCCGUCUCUGUCACCCUGAUGUUGGGCACCAAAGUUGGAUGCAUGAAACCAGGCAGCAUGACAAACAUCCCCAAGGAAGACAGGUGCUUUGCAUCAAGAACAACGCUAUGACACCAGGCUCUCCUGAAAGGGACAUGGGACUGGAGUUAUGCUCUUCAGUGCCACCCAGGCAGAAGACAGCACAUGCUGUUCCCUGGAGCCUCAUACCUGCGGAUUAGUUGGCGAGUACAUCCAUGGCCAGCGGCAUCUGCUGAAGACAAUAGCUAGGAGUAAUGAACACUGAAGUUCCGUGGUUUCACAUCUGGAAAGAAAAUGAAGAGCCAGCAGAGAGAAUCUGCCAGAGACAUAACCAGGUGCGACGGUACUGGAAGAGUUGAAGACUGAGAAGCAGUAAGUGUUUGUGUUCACAAAGAUGUUUGCUAGUACAUUUUAACCCAUUUUUUACCCGGAUUUUGACAAUCUGUUAAAUAUUUCAGCACUGAAUACCUCAGCACUAGAGGUUAAAUGUAUAAAUACACUAGGAAACGUCUGUGCAGACAACUCUUGAGGUAUCUUAGACAAAUCCUUCAGUGUUAGUACACAUAAUGAACAUCAGGUUAAGAGCAAGCUGGAAUCCAAAAUCACAUUGCAGUGGUAACUUCUGUUUCUCUAAACGAAAAAUGUUUGAUUAUCCAGUGAGAAGGCAGUCAUUUUCAAUAUGUGCAUAUCAGUGAGAAACAAAAUUAUUUGUUCCCUCGUGAUAUUACCCUUCUGACAUUAAGAAAAUGAGAUCUGUAUUCUUACCCUCUGGUGAGGAUUUUAUUUCAAAGACCACCUCAUUUCAGUGCUGAAGGGCCUUAAAUUCUUCCAGCUUAGAAUAAUGAUUUGUGACAUCUCUUUUUAUUGGGCUGAUGUAGCAAAACAUUUCCUAUCUCAUCUCAACUAGUGAGAAAAAUAGCUAAUAGUUUUGUAUAAUGCAGGGUGCAAUCCCAAUAAAGCUCUGAAGUUCCUAGCUCUCA